rnacentral:rRNA from 1 species
UACGAAGGGGGCUAGCGUUGCUCGGAAUCACUGGGCGUAAAGGGUGCGUAGGCGGGUCUUUAAGUCAGGGGUGAAAUCCUGGAAGCUCAACUCCAGAACUGCCUUUGAUACUGAAGAUCUUGAGUUCGGGAGAGGUGAGUGGAACUGCGAGUGUAGAGGUGAAAUUCGUAGAUAUUCGUCAAGAACACCAGUGGCGAAGGCGGAGCUC